rnacentral:misc_RNA from 1 species
ACAGCAGUAACAGUGCGUGCUGUCAGUCACUUGUUACAUCGGCGCGAUUGCUUUCUGGACAAGUCGCACGGCAUGGAUCAUGUGGCCGCAGCAGAUAACGUUUCGUCUCAAGCUGACGAAAUAGAGGCGCUGAGUGCAAUAUAUCAAGACGACUGGAAGGUGGAAGAUGCUGCAAAUCGCGUCUACAAAAUUGUAUUGUGCAGCGAAUCCUCCGGCGACAAGCUGAGUUUUCAGGUUACACUGCCACCUGAGUACCCGUCGGAAGCACCGCCGUUUUACGAGAUAAGCGCGCCAUGGAUGACCCAGGAGAGGAAAGCAAGGCUCUUGGCUGCCCUGGAUGACCAUUUUUAUAAUCAUCUGGGUGAAAACAUCCUUUACGACUGGAUUGAGAUUGCUCGCAAAGCACUUGAUGAAGAUGCUACAGAGUCCGAAUCACUAGCUGUCAGCGAUGAUGAAGCGCCUGAAGUGGUGGAACCCUUUGACCAGCUGACACUGGAAUCUGAUCAAUCUUCAGCCUUAGAUCUCAGAGAUGGCUUGAAUAUCUUCCACGGUGGAACACUCGAGGAUCGUAGAAGUGUAUUCCAAGGUCAUCUUGCUGAAGUUCACAGCGUGAGAGAGGUUGAACAAGUUUUGGAUGAGUUGAAGACAAACAAAAAAAUUGCAGAAGCCACACACAACAUUUGGGCAUAUCGCCUUCUUCAAACAGAGCCACGCACUGUGCUCUGCAAGGACUCCGAGGAUGAUGGGGAAACAUAUGCAGGAAAUCGCCUUCUUCAUCUUUUAGAUAUUCUCGACGUGACAAAUGUUCUCAUAGUUGUCACUCGCUGGUAUGGAGGAAUUCACCUCGGUCCAGAUCGCUUUAAGCACAUCAACAAAGUGGCCAGAGAUCUCCUUGAGCGACGGGGCUACAUCAAAAAGGUGCCAACACCAGAUUCCAAAACCAAAGGAGGAAAGCACAAGAGAACAAAGAGCAAGAAAAUGUGACCGGCAUACUUGGAACGCAGGCUUCUAAUCAGUGCCAGGCACUGCCACUGCCAUAGUUUGACACUAGAAAAGGCUAGGUAAUUAUGUGCCAGUGGUGAUUGAAAUACUCUAGAGAGAUUUUCAUUCUAGAGUCCAGUAAUGCUUGUGCCCAUAUCAAAGGCUGCUAUAAGCAGUGUUGCUGAGAAGGGCUCAAGACAGAUUUCUUGCAAUAUGCAUAAGUAGUGUGACUUGUCCUGUUUUUCUACUUAGCCAGUUUGUAACAUACAAGCCGUGGCAUUUAAUUAGGAUUUUAUUGGGUACUUUUUACCAAAUAUUUUAAGGUGUUACCUAUCGUAAUCAUGAAAUGAGACGUGUAAGUGCCUGUGUUUUUUGUUAGUUUCAUACGUGAGCAAUUUACUAUGCAGCGCUAGCAUCACUGAAUCUACAUUGUUUUACUGCAAUUUCUUUCUGCAAGUAAUUUGCAAGUGUAGUCUCAGCCGUUGCCAUAUUGCACGUGGCGCACAAUUUAUCUUUGACUGUCAGUCUUUCAGCACAUGUGAGCCUCGUAUGUGCUGCAUAGUGGUAUUGAGCACUGCUUCAAUUGUGGCAGAGCCACAGCUUGUCACAAGAAAGUUGUGUUGGUGCUGUGAAUAAGUUGUGUGCAGUCAAUAUGUAGAUCUCAAAUAUCUUGGAACAGUGCUAUAAGUCUAAAUGAUUUUAAAAUUGAGUGCAGUGAAAAGGCAUAGAAGAAAAGCAGUUAAUGCAGCAGACUUAAAGUUGGGAAAGGGAAAACUGAAAGCAUGUUUUGAUAACAGCACAUUUGUAGAGUAUUUUUGUCUUGUAGAAAGUUAAUUUCUCUACAAGGGCUUUCACAACAGUUGCUUGCAGUAUUGUCUGUGACCUAGUCCUGUAAGGCAUGGUUUCUGAGGUGGUAAACUUCACACUCCACAUCACAUGGUAAUGUGGUAUAGUCUGAGAGCCUAGCAUUAUUAUUAUGAUGCUUGUUGGCGGCAAGUAAUUUGCACUGCAAAAGUUCCAAAGUCAUUUGUUUAGUUACCGUCAGUAGAGAAUAGCGUUUUUAUUGAUGCAGAGAAUAUUUUUAUUUGUUGCUUUUAAAUGUUUCCAAAUGAGUCUGUGAUGUUACUUGUUGACUGUUUACAUUAUACAAUAUUGCAAAGCAUUCGUCCCUGUGCUUCAAUGCCUAGUUGUCUUGCCCUAUGCCACCCUUUCUUGACACUGCAGCUUCAAGUACUCGGGGAGAGAGACAAAUAUAAACAAACGAAAAGAAAUUUAUGUAAUAGCUUCUUUGUCAGUAUGCAUUUUGUGGCUAACUUACUGUCUGUACAUCUCUAUCUUUCAUUUAGGCUGUCAGUCCAAAGUGUCAGUAAUUAAAAAUAGCUUUAACGGCUUAUAGCAGUGGCUGUAACUUUCGACCACAAACUACAAAUGGCUCACUUUUCCAGUGCGCAGCAGUGGAACAUGUACUAGCUCUGAAGAGAGCAACUUACUCCUUUAGUGUGGUUAAAGCUGAGCGAGAUAUGGGGUCCUAUAAUGUAAAGCUAUUCCAUUCCGAUGUUAUUCUAAUUUUGUGACACCCAAAUUUACUUUAACAAUGCAAGCACUGGGCAGUGACCUGCAGCAUUGUUUGAACCCAAUCAAACGCUCUCCUCGGUUAUAGGAGGGCACGUUUGAUUGCUGUUCAAAGCGAAUAGCUAUCUUGACAGGUUUUUCUUAUCUGAUUGGCUGACAAGAGGCGAGGAGCAUGCAGAAGUAGAGCGGGUUUGGUGGGGGCGAGCUAGUGCAGGUGGAAGUAGAUAACCGCUAAGGAGAGUGGUGCAAUAGGUUCCCUUUCCCUUGCUUAGCUUGUGGUGGCUGGUAGAAAGUCACGGCGGCAUGCAACAGGGAGUUAAUAAUGAUGCUAAAACGGGUACUCAGCACAGAAAAGUUGGCAGCGUGAUGUCAUAUAUGUAAAAGGACUUAACAUUAUAUUGCCAUGCAAAAGUAUUUAUUACACGUAAACAAAUCCAUUCACGUCGGCAGCUCUGCAUAGCCAGUGCGACAGCGAUCGGUGCAUCUUCUGUCCCUUUCGGAGCAGGGCACUCUCCAGCUAUUCUGAACAAAUUUUAGUUUUCUUCGGCAUAUUAAUGCAUCUUUAGUAUCUGUUCAUG